ensembl:lncRNA
UGCCUGGAUACCGUUACCCCCCAGUGCGCUGCAUGGGGGUCGCCGGGGCUCUCUGAAAGUAUUGAUGCACUUUGGAGAUUCUGCCAAGUUUGCAGAAACAAAGCGGGGCUGAAAUCCGAAACAAAGACUGAUAUAUAAAGUGAUGAGUGACUGGCUUUCGUUCUUUCAAUGGUGGGCAAAUAUUAAUGUUGUUUUUCUCUCCUCCAAAGUAAGGGCGGUGUUCAGCCUGGAAGAGGAGAAGGGGUGUAGAGCGAGAGCGGGGGAGGCAGGGAUGAAGAGAGAGAGGGAGUGAGAGAGGUUGGGAUAGUGAGUGAGAGCAAGAGGGAGAGGGGAAGUGAGAGUGAGAGAGGUUGGGAUAGAGAGAGAGGGAGAGUGGGAGAGGAUGGGAGAGAAAGAGUGAGGGAAUGAGGGAGAGAGGAAGAGAUGAAGAGAGAGGUAGUGAGACUAAGAGAGACUGGGACAGAGGGAGAGAGCGAGAGAGUGUGGGACAGAGAGGCAGAGAGAGAUGGACGGGGCUGGGGACAGGGGCGAGCGCCGGGGUCAGGGGAAGUAGUCCGAUGGCUCGAUUAAACGUGCAAAUGGCAGCGACCGAACCACUGACCCGCCAGGUCCGGAACACGCUGCCGCGCCUGC